rnacentral:lncRNA from 1 species
AUGGCUCCACUGAAGGAGCCAAUCUUUCCACGAAGAAGGUUUUUUCCUUCUCUCUACCCUUUUGCAUUUCUUGAAACGUUCCCAGAUUUAACUGAGAGUCUGAGCUGGAGGAAUGGGGAGUGGAGGGAUGACAGUGAAGCAAAAGAAGACAAAGACCUGGGCCAAAGAAGUCCUGUGGAAAAGUGAUCCUUUGACAGGUAAAUAACGAAGAUUUAUUUGUAUCCUGCCAAGAAAAGAAAACAUUGCACUCUCUGUGAAACCAGGCAAAGGGAGAGACUUAAAUUAGAAGUCAUUCUCGGAAGCACUUGCAGAUGUGCAGAUUAAGAGAAAAAUAAUCCAGACAAAUAUGUAUGCGGUAUAUUUUACUCCCAUGAAAUAAAACACAUUUUUUCAUGUUUGCUGAAAAGUAA